rnacentral:pre_miRNA from 1 species
GAUAAGAGAAUGACAAAUCAAUUUUUUCUUCUGAUUUUCAUCUUUCUUCUCCUAAAGAAAAUUUAAAUUCAACUAAAAAUGUUAAAAAUCAAGAGCAAAAAUUUGAUCUGUCAUUUUUCUAUU